GCGGGUCCACUGGGUCCGGGGAUUUGGGUUGAGAAAGCCGCCGGAAGCCAUUUAAGAGCAACAGUCAUUUUGAAACUUAGCCAAAACUACUUUUCCGGUUCUGGGCAUUCGGCUGCCCCCGGCCCCACAACAACAAAAUGUUUUGUACCAGAUGUUCCAGGAACUGUUCCAUGGCAAACUUGUUCUUUCUCUAAACCCUCCUGCUUGCAAAAUCUCUGUGUGGUUUUGUCCUGUAAGAGAGGUGCUCCGGGCUGUUCUCUCGAACCCUGUCUUAGGGGUAGACAGACGCCACACAUAGGUUUUCAUCCUUAUUCAGUGGGAUUAUCAUUUGGAAGCUUGAAUGAUAUAAGAUCCCCUUCCCAAAUUCAGAACCCGAACCCUUCCCUUUGAUCCUUAGGGACUGGACCAACACUUCCCACCCCGUGUGCACUGUGAGACAUUCCUUGAGGUCCUUGGGCUUGCUCCGGUUUGGCUGGCCCAAGGCUGCAUCAAAAGAAAACCGCACCUGCAGGUUAACCCAUGAUGAGUGCAUUGCUCUGCUGGGAGGCAGGAGUGGCUCUGGUUCCUGAACUGUGGAGGGCGACAUUGGAUUCACAAGGAGCCUUACCAUGCUCCCAGACUGUAGGGUUCUUCCCAACGGGGCCAGAAGCUGACAGUACCAGUACCUCCGGGUAGCAGCAGUUCAGGCUGUCCUGAACUGUAGCAGAAGAGUGAAGAUCUCCAGAGACACCUGUGCCCGGGUGUCUUAAGCUGCCAGUGACUUGUGUGCAGAGAAGCUUCCAGAGGCGUGGGCUGUCACCAGGAAUUCUGGGCUGGGGGAUGACAUUCAUGCAAAGCCUUGAGGUCACCUUUGCCAGCCAGAGCUGGCAGGAGAACAACAGGGGUCCAUAGGCACCAGCAACACAGCCUUUGACUGCAAGGCUGCCUGUGGGAGCCUCUGCAGCCAUCACAGUCACAGCACUGCUCCUGGAGCCACGGGUGGUUUUGAAGGUCCCAGACCUUGUGGCAAGGCACACCCUGCAACCAGGAGAGAGGCCUGCAUCAUUGGGUUCUUCCUGGGCUUCUUCAGGGGAAAGGCUCCGAGACACCUUGAACUCAAGCUCCAGGGGCCACUUCACUGUCACUACGGUAAUGUGAGGAGGAAAUGCCCAGACCUGAGGUUCCAGCCAUCUGCUACCUGGGCAGGAGUUGUCCCUGCUCUGGCCUGAGCCUGGGUGUGGCGGCUGGAGGUAGGCACAGAGUGUCUGCAUCCAAGCUGGGUCAGUGGAGUUUUGUUAGAUGCUCAGUUACUGGCUCACUGAAGAGAGUUGGGUGGGGCCAGGCAUCCACCCACACUUGUGCAGCUGAGAAGUUCCCGAUCCGUUUCUCCAGGGAGCUCUACACUCCCUAGGCUGGAAUCUGGUCUCUGGGACACACAACUCCAAGGCAGACCGUGGGCUCUGUGCCGUUAGUUGUCAUCUCUACUGGAGCCCAGUUCCUGCAGAUAAUUGCUUCUAGCCAUACCCAAGCCCCCUUUUAGGUGACUGGUGCCUCAGCCUCUGUCCAGGGAGCUAACUGGCUUCCUGUCAGGAGUACAUUGCACCCUGUGUGUGGUUCUGUGGGUGCAUGUAGGCAAAGGAGAAUUGCAUCCAGGCAAUAACAUGGAGGACGUGAGAAGACUGAACCAACAGCUUGUGUCAAGAGUGCUGGGGAUCAAACCCCAGGCCUCACAUGAGUUGGUGUUUGGUGCUUUACCCUAAGUUACACCUCGAGCUCUAAGAGAGACCAAGGAGAGAUAAGAGAGACACAAAGCCCAGAGCUGGAGAGUGAGCCACACCACUGUGCUGAUGGUGGGGCCAGAAGGGCCGAAUAGCUGCUCAUUCUGCCCCCCCCAUCCCCAUCCUGGGUCUGGCUACCUUGUCUUACCCCCAGGCAUUUAUAGGCAAGCAGGGCUCAAGGCAAGACCUGGAAGGCCUGGUGCCCCAGCAUGGGAGUAGUGGGGGGCUCCCUGGGCAGUGGCUAGCUGUGUCUAGAAACCAGCUGUCCUUGUGAACCAACAACCUUCUAGGGGAGGGCCCUCUUCAAUUUGUGUAUCUUUUAAUGGAUGAUGCUGAUUUUGUAAGAAAUUAAGCUGCAUGGUUUAGGAGAAACUGCGGCCAGCCUACUCAAGCCACAGUCGCUCUGCCCAGGUGCCCAGGCCCCCAGGCCAGCCUGCAUGAGCAUGUGCAGUGGGCACUUUUCUUCCUGAGCCAAGCCUGUCUCUAUGCUCAGAGACUGCUGAUGGAAGACACCUGACUCAGAGACACCAAUGAGGAAGCAGAGUCAGCCGCCUGAGCCAAUGGGACCUUGGGAGGAGGUAUAAAGGCAGGUCUAACUUCUGGCAGCAUGCUCUGCUACUCACUGACUCCCAGUGCUACAUCUUCUUACCCCCUUCCCCAAGGGAUGUUCAAGCAGGGUCACCUGCAAUAUCUGGUGCCUAGAUGUGGGGCUUGUGGAUCCCGUACUGGUAUGGGUCUCUGCCUCACUUGAAUCAGGGUGUCGCCGAGGCUGUUUUUAUGUGCUCUGAAUCUUUGCCUUUUGUUGCUGGCGGUACACUUUCACUUUUUCUAUCUGCACCCUUUCAGAUUUAUGGUCAGGCUCGUGGUGUGUUUCGGCAUUCCCUCUGUUAGACCCCCCGGAAAGCUCAGGCUUCCAGGGUCUUAGCCCAGGACCACAGUCACCCCAAUCAUCAAGCGGAUUCGAAAGCUUGAUGCAAACAGCAUGAGGCUUUAUU